GAGUUUGAUCGUGGCUCAGAUUGAACGCUGGCGGCAUGCCUAACACAUGCAAGUCGAACGGCAGCACUGGGAGCUUGCUCCCUGGUGGCGAGUGGCGGACGGGUGAGUAACGCGUAGGAAUCUGCCUCAUAGGCGGGGGACAACGUCGGGGAAACUCGAGCUAAUACCGCAUACUACUCGAGAGAGGAAAGCGAGGGGACCUUCGGGCCUUGCACUAUGAGAUGAGCCUGCGUUGGAUUAGC
rnacentral:rRNA from 1 species